GCCGAGGUGGUGAAAUCUGGUAUACACGCUACUUUGAGGGAGUAGUACCUUAAUAUAGGUGUACGGGUUCAAUUCCCGUUCUCGGCACAA
rnacentral:tRNA from 1 species